GCGCCCUUAGCUCAGCUGGAUAGAGCAACGGACUUCUAAUCCGUAGGUCGCUGGUUCGAAUCCAGCAGGGCGUGCCA
rnacentral:tRNA from 1 species